UAGUCAACUAAAAUAAAUAAAAUUUAGUUUCAAAUAAGACCAUUACUCGUUAUUUUAAAGGAGAUUAUUAAAACGGUGAACUAAAUAUCUUUUCAACUGAUUUAGUUAAUGCAAAUAUUUCUUACUUUCGGGUACGUGAUAUUUGGGUUUCAUUCCAGGUGGAUGGUUAAAACAAGCAGCCUUACAAGGUUUCCAUUGAUACAAACGUCUUCUCGUAACAUAGACCUUUUUAUAAUAAGACAAACAACCACAUCGAAUAAAAUUUUUUGAAUAAUAGUAUGUUUAAUUGCAAUUUGGUUAUCAUCACAAAAUAUUGACGUUAAUAAUUUUAUUAACUACAACUUAUUUGUAUAAUGAGAUAUUAAAAUAAACUGAUAUUUGAAA